CCCAGACUCCUACGGGAGGCAGCAGUGGGGAAUAUUGCACAAUGGGGGGAACCCUGAUGCAGCGACGCCGCGUGGGCGAGGAAGUAUUUCGGCAUGUAAAGCCCUCUCGGCAGGGAAGAAGAAAUGACGGUACCUGAAUAAGAAGCACCGGCUAACUACGUGCCAGCAGCCGCGGUAAUACGUAGGGGGCAAGCGUUAUCCGGAUUUACUGGGUGUAAAGGGAGCGUAGACGGCAGCGCAAGUCUGAAGUGAAAUCCCAUGGCUUAACCAUGGAACUGCUUUGGAAACUGUACGGCUGGAGUGCUGGAGAGGUAAGCGGAAUUCCUAGUGUAGCGGUGAAAUGCGUAGAUAUUAGGAGGAACACCAGUGGCGAAGGCGGCUUACUGGACAGUAACUGACGUUGAGGCUCGAAAGCGUGGGGAGCAAACAGGAUUAGAUACCCCGGUA
rnacentral:rRNA from 1 species